AUUUAUAUAGUUUAAAUUAAAACUUUACAUUUUCAUUGUAAAAAUAAAAUAAAUAAUUUUUAUAAAUA
rnacentral:tRNA from 1 species